CUUCUCGUCGGUGUUCCCGGCUGCUAUAGAGCCGGGUGAGAGAGCGAGCGCCCGUCGGCGGGUGUCGAGGGCGGGUUGCCUCGCGCUGACCCUUCCCGCCCUCCUUCUCGUCACACACCAGGUCCCCGCGGAAGCCGCGGUGUCGGCGCCAUGGCGGAGCUGACGGCUCUUGAGAGUCUCAUCGAGAUGGGCUUCCCCAGGGGACGCGCGUAAGGGAGUUCCCCAACCCCGGCCUGCGGGUGUGGGGGGUCGCGGACCUGUCUCGGCCUUUGCCCCAGCCUGACCGUCACCAUGGCUCGUGGGCGCUAUUCAUGGUGUUUCUGCCCCCAGGGAGAAGGCUCUGGCCCUCACAGGGAACCAGGGCAUCGAGGCUGCGAUGGACUGGCUGAUGGAGCACGAAGACGACCCCGAUGUGGACGAGCCUUUAGAGACUCCCCUUGGACAUAUCCUGGGACGGGAGCCCACUUCCUCAGAGCAAGGCGGCCUUGAAGGUCCUGACUGAGGGUCCACGGUGUGAUUAUUCAGGAGGGUCCGAGGAGAAU
rnacentral:lncRNA from 1 species